rnacentral:rRNA from 1 species
UACAGAGGGUGCAAGCGUUAAUCGGAUUUACUGGGCGUAAAGCGAGUGUAGGUGGUUUGCUAAGUCAGGUGUGGAAUCCCAGGGCUCAACCCUGGAACUGCAUUUGAUACUGGCAGGCUAGAGUGUGGUAGAGGAUAGUGGAAUUCCCGGUGUAGCGGUGAAAUGCGUAGAUAUCGGGAGGAACAUCAGUGGCGAAGGCGGCUAUCUGGACUAACACUGACACUGAGACUCGAAAGCGUGGGGAGCAAACAGG